rnacentral:rRNA from 1 species
AUACGUAGGGUGCAAGCGUUAAUCGGAAUUACUGGGCGUAAAGCGUGCGCAGGCGGUUUUGUAAGACAGUGGUGAAAUCCCCGGGCUCAACCUGGGAACUGCCAUUGUGACUGCAGGGCUGGAGUGCGGCAGAGGGGGAUGGAAUUCCGCGUGUAGCAGUGAAAUGCGUAGAUAUGCGGAGGAACACCGAUGGCGAAGGCAAUCCCCUGGGCCUGCACUGACGCUCAUGCACGAAAGCGUGGGGAGCAAACAGGAUUAGAUACCCUGGUAGUCCACGCCCUAAACGAUGUCAACUGGUUGUUGGGGAUUUAUUUUCUCAGUAACGAAGCUAACGCGUGAAGUUGACCGCCUGGGGAGUACGGCCGCAAGGUUAAAACUCAAAGGAAUUGACGGGG